rnacentral:lncRNA from 1 species
CAUAUCAAAAAGAACAGCCUGUUAAUAGGUAACAAGAAUCUGGAAAGAUUUUUGCAAUGCUAUAAAUAGCCAGAGCAGUUCUCCAGCCAGCAAAAGCAGUCCUGUGUUUAUACCCAGAGAAUGUAGACAGAGAAAGAUAAUGGUUUGUUUUCUUUAGGUGGAAUGACUUUGGCAGUGAACAGUUGCAUUGUUACUAAUUUUACACAGUUGAAUAAGACAAUAAAAUCUUCAGAGUACAUUUCAAGACAGUUACAACACAGACUUAAAUACAUCUGAAAUACAGCAUCAUUUCAAGAUGAUUGCACAUAUUUUCAGAAUAUGUGCAAUCAUCAACAUACACACACAUAUAGAGCCACAGUGACUAACACUGACAGGGUGCUUCUUUUAUUUUCUUGGUUCUGCUGGGGCACUCCAUUGAAUGGCAACGCUCUGAACCUUGUGUUCAUACAAGAAUCUUGCAGAGCUGGGUUGGAUUAGCAUGUUGCACAUAUUUACACUGGAGUAACAUUACCUCUUUGUAAGUCUGCUUCUGCAUAAUGCCCAGCUUCCUCUACUUCAAACCACUCUUGUUCCAGUCCAUUCACCCCUCCAUAACUGCUUGGCACAGUUUCAGUUCGCCUCCCUGCCCUUAUUUUUUUUUUUUUUUUUCAGUAGGCUUUGUCAAGUCUGCUCCUAAAUCUUCCUGUUCAUUUUGUUUCAGGGUCAUAUCUGAGGUGGUUCAAAUUAAACAAAAAGAAAACCCAGGAGUUACAGGUCACUUGCUUUUAGAAAACAGCCUGGAAAUUAUACAAGCAUGGGGUUUUUUUUCCACAAGACAGAGAAAAACCUGCAUUUGA